rnacentral:rRNA from 1 species
CCUACGGGAGGCAGCAGUAGGGAAUAUUGGGCAAUGGACGCAAGUCUGACCCAGCCACGCCGCGUGCAGGAAGACGGCCCUCUGGGUUGUAAACUGCUUUUGACUGGGAAGAAAAGACUCCUUGCGAGGAGAGUUGACGGUACCAGCAGAAUAAGCCACGGCUAACUACGUGCCAGCAGCCGCGGUAAUACGUAGGUGGCGAGCGUUAUCCGGAUUUAUUGGGUUUAAAGGGUGCGUAGGCGGCUGAUUAAGUCAGCGGUGAAAGGUAGCAGCUUAACUGUUUUACAUGCCGUUGAUACUGGUUAGCUUGAGUUAACAGAAGGCAGAUAGAAUUUCUGGUGUAGCGGUGAAAUGCUUAGAUACCAGGAGGAAUACCGAUUGCGAAGGCAGUCUGCUGCAGUUACACUGACGCUGAGGCACGAAAGUGCGGGGAUCAAACAGGAUUAGAUACCCUGGUAGUCCGCACAGUAAACGAUGAUUACUAGUUGUUGGCGAGAGUCAGUGACCAAGGGAAACCGAUAAGUAAUCCAC